CAAAACUACAGCAAGUUUUCCUGUUUCUGGGAGACAGAGCCCGUAGGCUGUAGGAGGAUAAGCUGUGACUUCUUUCACAGAAAACCCCGUAACAUAAAUGGACUUUAUUUGCCACCAAGUAACAAUGUCCCAUUAAAACAGGAUGUCCAAGGAGGGAUUCUGCAUCCAGUCCUUCGUCAAGACUCACUCAGAAAUCAAGAGAAUAUUUUAUUGCCAAUUCAUCCUCCACUGAUUAUAAACCUCGGUGUUUCUAACUUGAGGCCCAAGACCACUGCAGAUAUUGAAGAGGAAAGAGCAAUAAGGGAUAUAUGCUAUAAAUCUGGUAAAUAUGAAAUUUGUCACUCUUUAGUCACAGCAAUGCUGCCAAUACAGUAAUCUUUGGGCCUUUCUUUUCCCCCUCUUGGGGCAUGUUUAGGAGAGUAUUAUGGAAUUCAGAACCCUCACAAAAACCAAUCAACAAAACCUGUGUCUUCACCUUGGCAAGAUGAGCUACUACCCUUGGAAGCUACUGAACAAAACUUACAGAAAGGUGAUGGUAACACAAUUCCUACAAAAUGUAAUAAUGCGAGAAAAGAGAAAGAGAGUUCAGAAAGGAGAGUACCAAUAGAGAGUACUCCCAGAAAAGAUCAUAAAUCCUUUGACAAUGGAGGAGGUGGUGGUUCUGGAACACAGAGGAGCACAUUUUUUGAUGGGACCAGAUUUGAGGCACCACUACCUUGGGAAAAAGAACGAAUUUCAUCCAAGUAUUCCAAUGUGAAAGAGACAAACCACACUGAGCUGGUAAAGAACCAUCGCUGUAAGGAAGUAAAAGAAAAUAAAUGCAUUUCUGAGGAGCCAAGAAAUUCAGCUAAUACAGUAACUGGCAAAGGAAUUCAGACUUUGGACCCCAAAGUAAAACCAAGGUACCAACAAAGGGGUCAAAGUAAGAAUGAUGAAACUGCUUCUUCCAGUCCUUAUGGGAAAGAAACUGGAAGAUACACUAAUUUAAAUUCUCCAGAACCUCGACGAUCAGCAUAUGUAGUCUAUCGUACAGUCACUCAAAAACCAAAGUUCAAUGGAUCUACAGUACCUGAAUCAUAUGGUCAGAAAUGCUCAAAACAGAAGAAUCAGCCUGACAACAAUAGGAGAUUUUGGACACAAACAGAAAACUAUGGCAAAUAUACUUCAGGAUCUUCUAAUUCACCAACUUGGAGAAAAAGAAAUCCACAGGCAAAACCAAUCUCUAAGUUUAAAACAACCACUCAGCAGAGCCAAGAAGACAUGGAAGGCAAUAGAAAAGGAGAAAAAGAAAAAUCUAAAGGAAAAUAAGGAGAUUAUCAACUGGAAUACAAAAAGAUGAUGAACCUGCAAAUUCCAAAAAGAAGGUGUAGGAAUUACACUGUAAUGUUUCUAAGCUGGCUAAAAAAUUUAAAAAGUAUACUCUGCACAGUCACAUAUAAAGGUGUUUAAUAUAUUCACUAAGUUUAAUCCAUUGUGAAAAUUUGGCAGUUGAAGUUAUUUUUACAGAUUAUGGCUGUACACCAGAAGACUGACAGUAAUAGAUAUCCAUAGAGAGUAAAAAUAUCCCUAAGCAGUCUUCCCCUUUUUUAUUUGACAGAUCUUUAAAGGCAUAAUUCCUAAUAUGAAUAAAUACUAUUUACUUAGCA
rnacentral:lncRNA from 1 species